rnacentral:lncRNA from 1 species
UUGGUCUUUGUUCUUUUGAUGCGCGAUAGUCGACUUGUCGGUUUAACGCUUAAAUUCACACAAUGCUAUCAAAUGCGGUUAUGGACACCAUCACUGGCAACAUCGGAUACGGAACUUCCAAAAUAUAACUUCCUUCUACAUUGGUACAGCGGUAUUGGUCGUCAAAACGCCAUUCCUGCAUGGGCUCCAACAAUUAAAAUAUAAAAUCUGAGUCGCCGCUGAUUUUCCUGAUCCUCACUGGGGGCUCCAAAUGUAACGGGGUGUCAUGUGGCUAACAAAACCAAUCCAGUAAAAGUUGAUAAUUUU